rnacentral:rRNA from 1 species
AUUGAACGCUGGCGGCAUGCCUUACACAUGCAAGUCGAACGGUAACAGGUCUUCGGAUGCUGACGAGUGGCGAACGGGUGAGUAAUACAUCGGAACGUGCCCGAGAGUGGGGGAUAACGAGGCGAAAGCUUUGCUAAUACCGCAUACGAUCUCAGGAUGAAAGCAGGGGACCGAAAGGCCUUGCGCCCACGGAGCGGCCGAUGGCAGAUUAGGUAGUUGGUGGGAUAAAAGCUUACCAAGCCGACGAUCUGUAGCUGGUCUGAGAGGACGACCAGCCACACUGGGACUGAGACACGGCCCAGACUCCUACGGGAGGCAGCAGUGGGGAAUUUUGGACAAUGGGCGCAAGCCUGAUCCAGCCAUGCCGCGUGCAGGAUGAAGGCCUUCGGGUUGUAAACUGCUUUUGUACGGAACGAAAAGACUCUGGUUAAUACCUGGGGUCCAUGACGGUACCGUAAGAAUAAGCACCGGCUAACUACGUGCCAGCCGCCGCAGUAAGAC